UAGAGUCUUCUGAACUCCCAACCAUUGUGAACAUAUCAUGUUGCUUCGGCGGGUUGCGGGCUGGCCUAGCGCCUAACGCACCGCCCGCCGGAGGCCAAACUCUUGUUUUCUAGCGGAAUCUUCUGAGUUUUUACCAAUAAGCAAUCA
rnacentral:misc_RNA from 1 species